CAGCAGCCGCGGGAAAACGGAGGGUGCAAGCGUUAAUCGGAAUUACUGGGCGUAAAGCGCACGCAGGCGGUUUGUUAAGUCAGAUGUGAAAUCCCCGAGCUCAACCUGGGAACUGCAUUUGUGACUGUAUAGCUAGAGUACGGCAGAGGGGGAUGGAAUUCCGCGUGUAGCAGUGAAAUGCGUAGAUAUGCGGAGGAACACCGAUGGCGAAGGCAAUCCCCUGGGCCUGUACUGACGCUCAUGCACGAAAGCGUGGGGAGCAAACAGGAUUAGAUACCCGCGUAGUCCCUGUCUCUUAUAC
rnacentral:rRNA from 1 species